rnacentral:lncRNA from 1 species
AUCCGGCUAAAGUGCAAUUUGUGUGUAGUGACAAAAUUAUCAUUCGAGACUCUCGAGAUAUGAUAGUUAUGGUUGUCUUAUCCACCUUGUGACAGCUAUCGGCUAGAAGGCAUUGGAUUUUAAACUGUAUGCUAACUAGUGUCACUGGAUCGAGGACUGAUCGAUCAUGAUCAAAAGUCAGACAUUUUGUGCGUCAUCGGAUAGGAAAGUCUGGAGCUAGGGUUUA